AUUGAACGCUGGCGGCAUGCUUUACACAUGCAAGUCGAACGGUAACAGGUUAAGCUGACGAGCGGCGAACGGGUGAGUAAUGCAUCGGAACGUGCCCGGUCGUGGGGGAUAACGCAGCGAAAGCUGCGCUAAUACCGCAUACGAUCUGAGGAUGAAAGCGGGGGACCGUAAGGCCUCGCGCCAUCGGAGCGGCCGAUGUCGGAUUAGGUAGUUGGUGGGGUAAAGGCUCACCAAGCCAACGAUCUGUAGCUGGUCUGAGAGGACGACCAGCCACACCGGGACGGAGACACGGCCCAAACUCCUACGGGAGGGAGCAGUGGGGAAUUUUGGACAAUGGGCGAAAGCCUGAUCCAGCAAUGCCGCGAGCAGGAAGAAGGCCGUCGGGUUGUAAACUGCCUUUGUACGGAGCGAAAAGGUCUCCUCUAAUACAGGGGGCUCAUGACGGUACCGUAAGAAUAAGCACCGGCUAACUACGUGCCAGCCGCCGCAGUAA
rnacentral:rRNA from 1 species